rnacentral:lncRNA from 1 species
AUAUAGCAAUAGCUUCUACCGUGUUUUUGACAUAUCCCUACUCAGUCUGGAGCUCAUCACCCUGCAAUCGGGAUAAUAAAGCUCAUUGUUAUUGUUAGAAAAGUCUGCUUUAUUCAAAUAGGAAUCUUCUGUAACUUUUUCUCCAGAGCUGUGAGAAAAACUUUUAUUACUUAAAGUCCCUAAGACUGCGGAACUUUAUUAUGGCAGCCCUGGGAAACUAGUAGAUGUCCCAGGCUAAGAGAUGAACUUUCCUCCAAGUAUUUCCUACAGUGCAGUUUCCAGGGAAUGUGCUCCACGGAGUCAUCUCUACUUUGCCAUUGGUCCUCUUAAAUGAACGCCCAAGAUUUGAACGGUGAACUCCAGGGACGGUUGACUUCUUCUAUCCCAUCCAUGGUAGAGAGUCAAAUACAAAAUAAAAUUAGGCUUAAUGGUGCUUGAGAACAUGCUGCAUACUGUCAGGCCUCUGAG